GACGAACCGUGCGAACGUUGUUCGGAUUCACUGGGCUUAAAGGGCGCGUAGGCGGCUUGCCAAGUCAGGGGUGAAAUCUCUCGGCUCAACCGAGAAACGUCGGCUGAUACUGCCGUUCUUGAGGGAUGCAGAGGAGACUGGAAUUCCCGGUGUAGCGGUGAAAUGUGUAGAGAUCGGGAGGAACACCGGUGGCGAAGGCGGGUCUCUGGGCAUUUCCUGACGCUGAGGCGCGAAAGCCAGGGGAGCAAACGGG
rnacentral:rRNA from 1 species